AACACUUCGCAAACCCUCCCCCCUCUGACUCCAACCCCCGCAAACCCCAAUCCGCCGCCGCGGCGAUCGCCAUGGCCGCCUCCGCCGCUGCUUCCCGCGCGCAACGCCUAUCUCGCAUCUUCUCCUCUUCUUCUCCAUCCGUGCGACCACCCAAGCCCGGGCAGGUCAAGGAAGCACCAAAGCCCGCGCCGACCAAGAAAGCUCCUGCUCCCGGCGCCGAGGCGAACCCCAACUUGCGCCGGAAUGCCAUCGACGACAUCAUCAAGGGCCUCUUGCGGGAGCGCGACCCGGACAAGCUGGUGUCCGGGUUCAUCGCCGCCUCGUCCACGCACCCGCGCUUCCGUGCCCGGCACCGCGUGUACGACGUGGCCGUGUCCCGCCUCGCGACCUUCGGCCGCCUGGACGGCGUCGAGGCCAUCAUCGACGCGCAGAAGCCCUUCCUGGAGACCUCCAAGGAGGGAUUCGCCGCGCGCCUCAUCCGCCUGUACGGCCACGCAUCCAUGGCUUCCCACGCCGCUGCGACGUUCCAUGACCUCCCCCCGCAGCUUAAGUCUACCAUGACCUUCAACUCUCUCCUCGCAGCCUACGUCGAGGCUGGAGAGUUCGAAGCGCUUGCCGCCGCGUUCAAGGAGAUCCCAGUCUCCAACCCCUCGGUUGUACCUAGCGUGUACUCCUAUAACAUACUCCUUCAAGCGCUAUGCAAGGUGCCCGACCUCUCGGCGGCACUUGAUACUAUGACACUCAUGGAGAAGUCUGGAAUUUCACCCGAUCUGGUCACUUUCAACACGCUAUUGAAUGGAUUCUACAACCAUGGAGACAUGGAUGGCGCUGAGAAAGUCUGGGAGAUGAUUACGGAGAGGAAUAUGGUGCCGGAUGCAAAGAACUAUAAUGCAAAGUUGAGGGGCCUUGUUGCGCAAGGGAGGAUUGAGGAUGCAGUUGCAGUGGUUGAAAAAAUGGAGAAGGAUGGACCAAAGCCUGAUACAAUAUCCUACAAUGAGUUGAUUCGAGGGUAUUGCAAAGAUGGGAGGUUAGAGGAAGCCAAGAAGCUGUUUGAAGAUAUGGCAGAAAAUGGUUAUGUUGCGAAUAGGGGGACAUAUCAUACCCUCAUACCAUGUCUUGUCAAGGCUGGUGAGCUCGAUUAUGCUCUGAAGUGCUGUCAUGAGAUAUAUGGUAAGAACCUUAGAGUGGACUGUUUUGUGCUGCAAGAGGUAGUGACUGCAUUGGUCACGGCAUCGAGGGUGGAGGAUGCCACCAAGAUUGUUGAGCUUGGAUGGAACAACUCCUACCCACGGAGGAUCUUGAAUAUUCCACAUGCUACAGAGAAAAACAAGGAAGAAUCAAUUUCAGAAGAGGAAGAGGAGCCUGAAAAUGCUUGACAAGGAUGUACCUCCAUGUGUUCUUCUCUGAUCAGUCUUACCGAUGGUUAUCAUUUUGCUAUAGUAUACUAGUCUGCUGUUGCGGACAUUGGAAGUAUCUCAUAUUGUCACAAAUGAGAUGUCGGGUGUGUAUUUGUCUCUAUCGCUAUAUUCUGGAAAACUAGAAACAUCUGAGCUAUGUUGUUAUUCAAGCCUUCCACAGAUCUUGUGCAGAUGUCUGGAUUUUGUUGGUGCAGAUGCUUUGUUUGGCAUGGGCCAAAAUGUAACGAUUCCUGUCGAUGGGCUAGGAUUUGAGCUUAAUUCUCGGCCUCUAGUGAACUGCCGGGGACCGCGCCAAACAAGAAGGUAGGGGGUGGCAACUGGGUGGGCUGGAUUGGAUAAGAAUGCCCCCCAUCCUCACUCCCUGCAUUCUUGCCCUAUCUCCCACCUGCAAAGCAAGUCAGGAGAGAAACACCAUUAGUCCUCUCUCCCGUAGGGGACCCGGUGGGUGAGCGGAGUCACUAACAUUCGUUGCAGGACGAGGAUGUGGUGAUGAGGUGACAAUGACUAGUGACUGGUGACUAAGUUAAUGACUAUUGAGAGAGAUGACAACGGUUAGGGAUGGGGAUGAGAGUCAUCGUGGCGUUUGAGGGCAGUGAUGACGGAUGAGGAUGUGAUGAGAUGGCGUCGUGGUGAUGGCUAUGGGCAACAUCGAUGUGACGAAGGCUAGGGUUGGUGAGGAGCUGACGAUGGUUUGCGGCGACGUGAUGGGGAUGGGGAUAGGCAGGUGACAUUGCGGUGUCGGCUGAGGGUGGGGAUGGCAUUGGCUAGGGGCGAUGACUAUGUGAUGAAGAUUGCUCACGGCGGCUGGGUGGAAGGUUGAGAGAAUUAGGGUUGGGGGAUUAGAUUGAGUUUAUGGCUUUGUUUAAAGUAGUUUCUGACAACCGUAGCUUCUCUUAAAAACAAAAGGUUUCUCCUAAAAACAAAAGCUCCUCCCAAACAGUUUUGUUUUUCAUCUAGAUUCUGAGAAGUUGUAGUUACACAAGCUAGAAAAUGAACUAAACGGUAGACCCAGCUUCUUCAUAUUCUCAUAAGCUUGUUAGACCUAGCUUCUUCGUAUUCUCAUAAGCUUGUUACUCUGUACCAACCAACUACUUUUUAGAAUUUUAAACUCUCCUAAACAACGCA